UACGUAGGGUGCGAGCGUUAAUCGGAAUUACUGGGCGUAAAGCGUGCGCAGGCGGGCUUUUAAGCCAGACGUGAAAUCCCCGGGCUUAACCUGGGAAUGGCGUUUGGGACUGGAAGUCUGGAGUGCGGCAGAGGAGACUGGAAUUCCUGGUGUAGCAGUGAAAUGCGUAGAUAUCAGGAGGAACACCGAUGGCGAAGGCAGGUCUCUGGGCUGACACUGACGCUCAUGCACGAAAGCGUGGGGAGCAAACAGGAU
rnacentral:rRNA from 1 species